CGAACGCUGGCGGCGUGCCUAAUACAUGCAAGUCGAACGCACUCUCGUUUAGAUUGAAGGAGCUUGCUCCUGAUUGAUAACAUUUGAGUGAGUGGCGGACGGGUGAGUAACACGUGGGUAACCUGCCCUAAAGUGGGGGAUAACAUUUGGAAACAGAUGCUAAUACCGCAUAAAACCUAACACCGCAUGGUGUAGGGUUGAAAGAUGGUUUCGGCUAUCACUUUAGGAUGGACCCGCGGUGCAUUAGUUAGUUGGUGAGGUAAAGGCUCACCAAGACCGUGAUGCAUAGCCGACCUGAGAGGGUAAUCGGCCACACUGGGACUGAGACACGGCCCAGACUCCUACGGGAGGCAGCAGUAGGGAAUCUUCCACAAUGGACGAAAGUCUGAUGGAGCAACGCCGCGUGAGUGAAGAAGGUUUUCGGAUCGUAAAACUCUGUUGUUGGAGAAGAAUGUAUCUGUUAGUAACUGAUCAGGUAGUGACGGUAUCCAACCAGAAAGCCACGGCUAACUACGUG
rnacentral:rRNA from 1 species